UUUGUACUCUCUCCGUUCCAAAAUUCUUGCCUUAUUUGUCGAUAUAUGAAUGUACAUAGUCACAUUUUAGUAUUUAGAUACAUCCAUUUCUAGACAAACUUAAGACAACAAUUUUGAGACGGAGGGAGUAUUAC
rfam:Hordeum vulgare subsp. vulgare, WGS project CAJW01000000 data, contig: morex_contig_39072